AUUCCUCCGACACGGUAACGACAACUAAACAUUUAGCCACGGGACACUUUUACGGUUAAGGUUGUGAAAUAUGGCGAGUUUACGAUGUUUUUAAACCCUCAAAGCCUUUGAAAAAAAUACAUCUACCUUCGUUAUUUGGACAUUACCGUGAGCGAACGUAAAGUCUCUCAAAAGAAAAACCAUCACGCAAGAUGAACGGCUGGCGCUCUGAAGACAUCAAUCGACACCUCUUAACGCCUGUCUGUGCAAGUUUGGCCCAAAGAGUGGAAGAUGAAGCAGGACAAGAUGGUUGUAAAAGACUGGCACUCAUGAAAGCGACGACAGUUGGCGUAAUGUGACAAGCAUGCUCUAAAGUGGCCACACGAGUACGAAUCCCCCGUCUAAAAACUGGCUGUCAACCCCUCAACCCCACCCAGUUUCCCCCCAUUUUCUGCACCGGUUGACAACCCUUCGCUCUGAAACGGCCACUUCAGCUUGAAGACGUAUUUUUCAGAGUUUUGUCUCAGCGAGUGAGCAAACUACACUUUGCAUUUACAAUAUCGAAAACUAUGGAACACAUUUUUUGUUGACUUAGGUCUAACAGCUAUUUUAUAACAAAUAUCCAAGUAGUGCGUCACAAUUACAGCACGUCCGGCACAGUGUAGUUCUCAUUCUUUGUUUUCAAACCAUUACCUUCAAACAUGUCCUGUAUUAUGUAUUCAUAAUAAAUCUCUCUGUUCACUCUAUGGCAGGGGUGUCAAACUCAUUUUUGUCGCGGGCCACAUUGUAGUUACGGUUUCCCUCAGAGGGCCGUUAUGAAAACACAUUUACACGUGAAAUUUAUGAG